AUGCUACGGCUGCGCCGCCUGCUGCUGCGAGUCCAGGCCACCGUCGAGGAGGCCGAGAGGCGGCAGAUCACCAACCAGGCGAUGCUCCGGCAGCUCGAGAUGCUGAGGAACGGCAUGUACAGAGGCUACUACAUGCUCGACGCCCUCGCAUGCACAUGCCCUGCGGCCAAAGAUGAGGUGAGCGACCGCUCUCUCGCCCUGUGCCAAUUCAGUCCCGUCAAGCGGCUCUGCCUCUCUGCCAGGGCGCCGAAGAACACGGUGUUCGACUGCAACGAGCUCGGCAAAGUGCUCUGUCGGCUUGAGAAGAUUGUCGCCGACAUGGAGGAGUUUGUGGUGUUCUUGAAGUGCUAUCCUCUGCUGUGCCGGCAACCUUGCAGCAGCUACCUGUCUACAGGCAUGUGCAUGUUUGGUCGUCACACGGAAUACGAGAGGAUCGUGAGCUUCCUGCUGCAGGUUGGCCCCCCUGGCACGGCAAAUUUCAGUGUUCUUCCGGUAGUCGGACCCGCAAGGGUCGGAAAGAGCACCCUCGUUGAGCAUGUUUGCUACGACGACAGGGUGCGCGGCUACUUCUCCUCCAUUGUUUUCCUUAGCGGGGAUGAUCUCCAACUCCAUGGCGCGGAAGUGAAUGCUCUGCAAGACAGUGGUGUUAUCAAGUAG
rnacentral:rRNA from 1 species